AUGAAGGAGGGCGAUGCCGCAGGUGUGGUGCACAGAGAUGAAAUGGAGGCAGAGGUGUUCAAGGCGUUGCUCUGUUUUGCGUAUACCGACUCCUUACCGGUGACAGAAAAGGAAGAUGAAGAUGUCAUGUACCAGCAUCUGCUUGUUGCGGCGGACAGGUAUAACAUGGAGAGGCUGAAGAGUAUUUGCGAGGAAAAGCUAUGCAAGUUCAUCAACGCAGCCACAAUAGCGACCAUCCUGACGUUAGCUGAGCAGCACCACUGUGAGGGCCUAAAGAAGGCAUGCUUAAAUUUUCUUCGCUUCCCGGCAAAUCUUAGGGCUUUGUUAGACAGCGACGGCUUCGAUCAUCUGAGCAGGAGCUGCCCCUCAGUUAUUAAGAAUCUGAUUGCCAUGUCCGCCCUCGUUUAG
rnacentral:rRNA from 1 species